rnacentral:rRNA from 1 species
UAGGGAAUCUUCGGCAAUGGGGGGAACCCUGACCGAGCAACGCCGUGUGAGAGAAGAAGGUUCACGGAUCGUAAAGCUCUGUUGUUAAGGAAGAACGAGUGUGAGAAUGGAAAGUUCAUGCUGUGACGGUACUUAACCAGAAAGGGACGGCUAACUACGUGCCAGCAGCCGCGGUAAUACGUAGGUCCCGAGCGUUGUCCGGAUUUAUUGGGCGUAAAGCGAGCGCAGGCGGUUAGAAAAGUCUGAAGUGAAAGGCAGUGGCUCAACCAUAGUAGGCUUUGGAAACUGUUUAACUUGAGUGCAGAAGGGGAGAGUGGAAUUCCAUGUGUAGCGGUGAAAUGCGUAGAUAUAUGGAGGAACACCGAUGGCGAAAGCGACUCUCUGGUCUGUAACUGACACUGAGGCUCGAAAGCGUGGGGAGCGAACAGG